rnacentral:rRNA from 1 species
CCUACGGGUGGCAGCAGUGAGGAAUAUUGGUCAAUGGUCGCGAGCCUGAACCAGCCAAGCCGCGUGACGGAUGAAGGCCCUGCGUGUUGUAAACUUCUUUUGUCAAGGAAUAAAGACUGGCACGUGUCCCCUGUUGUAUGUACUUUAUGAAUAAGGAUCGGCUAACUCCGUGCCAGCAGCCGCGGUAAUACGGAGGAUCCGAGCGUUAUCCGGAUUUAUUGGGUUUAAAGGGUGCGUAGGCGGGUUUGUAAGUCAGUGGUGAAAGUUUGGGGCUUAACCCCAGAAUUGCAAUUGAUACUGGCAGUCGUGAGUAGAGGUGAGGUAUGCGGAAUGCGUGGUGUAGCGGUGAAAUGCUUAGAUAUCACGCAGAACCCCGAUUGCGAAGGCAGCUUACCAAACUGUGACUGACAUUGAGGCACGAAAGUGUGGGUAUCAAACAGGAUUAGAUACCCUGGUAGUC